rnacentral:lncRNA from 1 species
UAAUAAAUUUGAAAUAGCUACUCUUAUAGUCGGUUUGGUUCGGUUUUUUCUGAUUAAAAUCAAAAUCAAACCAAACCAAAAAGUUUUGAUUUUUUUGGUCGAUUUGGUUUGGUUUUUCUUGUUUUUAUGAACACCUCUAUUAUACAACAACAACAAUAUUCCAGUAUAAUUUCACCAGUGGGGUCUUCGUAUGGUAAUAUGUACGUAGAUCUUAUCCCUACCCGAGGGGUAGAGAGGCUGUUUCCAGGAGACGCUCAGUUCAAGAACGCAGCAAAAAACGAUAUAUUAGUACUACUAUACACUGUCACUAAAAAGUUAAAAACCCAUACUGAUAUAUUUGUUGUUUAUCAGUGUGUUACUGUAUGAGAUAUUGCUGGCUAAUGCUCGACAAAGUUAACUAUACCCCUGAAAAUACUACAAGAGGCACUUGGAUGUUGUUAAAGCUGAUAUUUUCUUAAUAGGUUAGCUCGGUACAUUAAGCUCCCGCUAUGUGUGGGGUCUAGGGAAGGGCCGGUAUUAUAAAGGUCUAUUGUAAGCAAUCUUACCCUGCAUUUUUGCAAGAGUUUGUUUCCACAUCCAUGAUCUCUUGACCACAUGGUAUUAACUUUACCAAUUAUGCCAAAAUUUUCCUUCUCGAUCUCUAUCCAUGGCAUGAAGAAUCCAAACUCUCUAACCUGAAGCUCAUGCAAAAACUUAGUCUUUUCUGUCAACUUAAGCAAAAUAGGAGUCUUGAAAUCCUCUAAUCAUUUUGAUUUGAUUUUAGGUUUUUCUCAUGGUCUGCUCCUUAACUCAUUACAUAAUGAGUUGUCUCCAAAUUUAUAUUCCCAUAUGAAAACCAAUAACAAUACCAAAUAAUCUCGUACAAAAACCACAAGCAUAGGGGAUUAAACAGUUGAAUUAUUUUACUUUGUUUCCCGUUGAAGGGGAAAAAAAGGUACGCCAAAAGAAAGGAACUUUCGCUGCAAGUUUUCAGAAACUUCUUAUCAAUUACCAUACGAUACAGACAAAUGAAAUAGUAUGAAAGAUAUAGUGAGACGUUGUUAAAAGUAACUUAUACUAUAUACAUAAAACUAGUAUGCUACAUUAAGGAUUAAACAAUACGUAGCAUGAUAUCAAAAACAAUAAUUUCGCAAAUAUGGGAUGUAGAAGAAUUCCCAUCUAAAUUUACAGCAUAUGACUGAAGUGCAUCCAUGUUUGCUUGCACUUAAAACGUGCAUCGGAAGUGCAACUCGCAAUUGCUCGCUUUCACUACGGUAGGUUCCCUUAACCAAGUCACUGUCUGUAAAUUGACCGCUCAUUCUUCAACAAGUACACAGUCAGAUCCCUG